CCCUGCGAAGGUCAAGAUGGAAGAGAUCCUGCGGAAGCUGCAGAAGGAAGCUUCGGGGAGCAAGUACAAAGCCAUCAAGGAGAGCUGCACCUGGGCCCUGGAAACUCUAGGUUGUCUGGAUACCAUCGCCAAGAUUCCUCCCCAUUUGCUGAGGGAGAAAUGCCUGCUGCCUCUCCAAUUGGCCUUGGAAUCCAAGAAUGUGAAGCUGGC